rnacentral:piRNA from 1 species
AUGGCGUUUAGCUGCCCACGGUAGG